rnacentral:ncRNA from 1 species
AACUGAUCGAUGAGAGGAAAUAGUAGCAUAUCUUUUGUUUGAAGAGAGCUGGUGGCCGGUGCGAACCAGUAACAGGGAUAUGUGAAUCCGUCCUCGAGAAAAAUGCCGAACCCUUCCCUGAAAAGGGAAGGCAAGUAAGCAUUUUCGGCACAAGGCCGUUAUCCUUCAGAGAGGAAAGCAAGUGAUUUGCUUUCAAUUUGGGUGGCAACGCGGGAUCCGGCUCUCGUCCCAAAG